rnacentral:rRNA from 1 species
GACCAGACUCCUACGGGAGGCAGCAGUAAGGAAUAUUGGUCAAUGGGCGGAAGCCUGAACCAGCCAUGCCGCGUGCAGGAAGACGGCCCUACGGGUUGUAAACUGCUUUUGCAGGGGAAUAAACCCCCGAUCGUGAUCGGGGCUGAAUGUACUCUGAGAAUAAGGAUCGGCUAACUCCG